GCUAGCUACAGGCUUAACACAUGCAAGUCGAGGGGCAGCAUGGUCUUAGCUUGCUAAGGCCGAUGGCGACCGGCGCACGGGUGAGUAACACGUAUCCAACCUGCCGUCUACUCUUGGACAGCCUUCUGAAAGGAAGAUUAAUACAAGAUGGCAUCAUGAGUCCGCAUGUUCACAUGAUUAAAGGUAUUCCGGUAGACGAUGGGGAUGCGUUCCAUUAGAUAGUAGGCGGGGUAACGGCCCACCUAGUCUUCGAUGGAUAGGGGUUCUGAGAGGAAGGUCCCCCACAUUGGAACUGAGACACGGUCCAAACUCCUACGGGAGGCAGCAGUGAGGAAUAUUGGUCAAUGGGCGCAGGCCUGAACCAGCCAAGUAGCGUGAAGGAUGACUGCCCUAUGGGUUGUAAACUUCUUUUAUAAAGGAAUAAAGUCGGGUAUGGAUACCCGUUUGCAUGUACUUUAUGAAUAAGGAUCGGCUAACUCCGUGCCAGCAGCCGCAGUAAUACGGAGGAUCCGAGCGUUAUCCGGAUUUAUUGGGUUUAAAGGGAGCGUACAUGGAUGUUUAAGUCAGUUGUGAAAGUUUGCGGCUCAACCGUAAAAUUGCAGUUGAUACUGGAUAUCUUGAGUGCAGUUGAGGCAGGCGGAAUUCGUGGUGUAGCGGUGAAAUGCUUAGAUAUCACGAAGAACUCCGAUUGCGAAGGCAGCCUGCUAAGCUGCAACUGACAUUGAGGCUCGAAAGUGUGGGUAUCAAACAGGAUUAGAUACCCUGGUAGUCCACACGGUAAACGAUGAAUACUCGCUGUUUGCGAUAUACGGCAAGCGGCCAAGCGAAAGCGUUAAGUAUUCCACCUGGGGAGUACGCCGGCAACGGUGAAACUCAAAGGAAUUGACGGGGGCCCGCACAAGCGGAGGAACAUGUGGUUUAAUUCGAUGAUACGCGAGGAACCUUACCCGGGCUUAAAUUGCAGAUGAAUUACGGUGAAAGCCGUAAGCCGCAAGGCAUCUGUGAAGGUGCUGCAUGGUUGUCGUCAGCUCGUGCCGUGAGGUGUCGGCUUAAGUGCCAUAACGAGCGCAACCCUUGUUGUCAGUUACUAACAGGUUCCGCUGAGGACUCUGACAAGACUGCCAUCGUAAGAUGUGAGGAAGGUGGGGAUGACGUCAAAUCAGCACGGCCCUUACGUCCGGGGCUACACACGUGUUACAAUGGGGGGUACAGAGGGCCGCUACCACGCGAGUGGAUGCCAAUCCCAAAAACCUCUCUCAGUUCGGACUGGAGUCUGCAACCCGACUCCACGAAGCUGGAUUCGCUAGUAAUCGCGCAUCAGCCACGGCGCGGUGAAUACGUUCCCGGGCCUUGUACACACCGCCCGUCAAGCCAUGGGAGCCGGGGGUACCUGAAGUGCGUAACCGCGAGGAGCGCCCUAGGGUAAAACUGGUGAAU
rnacentral:rRNA from 1 species